rnacentral:rRNA from 1 species
UACGUAGGGACCGAGCGUUGUCCGGAAUCAUUGGGCGUAAAGAGCGUGUAGGCGGCUUGCUAAGUCUUGCGUGAAAUCUCGGGGCUCAACCCCGAGCGGUCGUGAGAAACUGGCAGGCUAGAGUGUGGGAGAGGAGAGUGGAAUUCCUGGUGUAGCGGUGAAAUGCGCAGAUAUCAGGAAGAACACCCGUGGCGAAGGCGGCUCUCUGGAACGCAACUGACGCUGAGACGCGAAAGCGUGGGGAGCAAACAGG